AAAGUUGGAGUUUGUUGGUUGGGCUGUGAGGAGAGCUGGAGUUUAUUGUUGUACAGAGAAGGAGGAGUCAGUGCUGUAAGGACAUGCCCAUGAGAAAUCACUGAGAAGAAUUUUGUUAGGUUUUUCAACCGACUGGAUAAAAAUCACAGCAAAUGUGAAAGUACUCAAAAUAAUGAAGAUUAAAGAGUUCCUCUGUGGAUUUCCUGACCAGUAGGAAAAAAGGAAAACAAUCGAGGAGAAACUGAAGGACAGCAAAGUGACUUGAGAAUGGAUGGUGCGAGGGAAUUCACAGAUCCAUGACUUCAAUGACAGUUUCAAGAAAGGCUCUUCCCUGGGGUGAUACUUUGGCAUGGACUUCUGUGAAGCUUUUGGUUCAGUACUGCAAGGCUCUUAUGAUGCAAUGGUCCAAAUGAUCCAGUCUCAUUUCACUGAGACUUUUCAGCACGUUGGAACAACAGUCAUAUUCAGAUUUUAGUGUCUUUCGAAACAUCUUUGAUGCUGAAAUUUGCAAAAUAAAAGAGUGUCACUGAAAAAUCACCACAACAUGUUUGGUUUGAUAAUAUAAA